rnacentral:rRNA from 1 species
AUGUCAUUCAUGGCGAGCUCAAGGCAGACGCGGACAACAUGGUGCAGCCGCUGCGGCGCGUCCAUCUCCGCGCCGCCGGGCGCGCGCUCCGUUCGUUGCGCGCUCUGCCACACCACGACGCGCGUGGAGCGCCGGCCGCAGCACAACGGCGGCCUGCACCAGGCCGUGGGCUUCAUCAAGGGCCUGCUCUUCGGGUCUCCGUCGCAGCCGCAGCCGCCGCCGCCCGCGUCCUCCGGGUCGAUGCGUGCCGGCGACCCGUACCGCCUGCCGGCCAGCUACCCGCGCGCCCGCGGCAAGAAGCGGGCGCUCCUCGUCGGCAUCAGCUACAGCUUCACCAAGUACGAGCUCAAAGGCACCGUCAACGACGUCAACUGCAUGGCCUACUUGCUCCGCCAGAGGUUCGGCUUCCCCGGCGACUCCAUCCUCGCCCUCACGCAGGAGGAGAAGGACCCGUACCGUUGGCCGACCAAGGACAACAUCCGGCUUGCGAUGCGGUGGCUGGUGGAGGGCUGCACCUCCGGAGACUCCCUGGUGUUCCACUUCUCCGGCCACGGCGUCCAGAAGCUGGACAACAACGGCGACGAGGUGGACGGCUACGACGAGGCGCUCUGCCCUCAGGACUUCGAGGAUCGCGGCGUGAUCCUCGAUGACGAGAUCAACGAGACCAUCGUCCGCCCCCUCGGCGCAGGCGUCAAGCUCCACGCCAUCAUCGAUACCUGCCACAGCGGCACCAUCCUCGAUCUCCCCUACCUCUGUCGCAUAUCCAGAACUGGGUACUGGCAAUGGGAGAACCACAACCGUCAGCCAGAUGCACAGAAAGGCACCAGCGGCGGCCUGGCGAUCUCCUUCAGCGGCUGCGGGGACAGCCAAACCUCCGCAGAGUCAGACAGGAAGGCGUUCUUGGGCUCCACCUCCACCGGCGCCAUGACGUACAGCUUCAUCAAGGCGGUGGAGUCUGAGCCGGGCACCACCUACGGUCGCCUGCUCAGCGCGAUGCGGGCCACCAUCCGCGACAACGGCGGUGACUCCGGCAUCCCUGGGCCCAUCGGCUCCUUUUUCCGCCGGGUCAUCACCUUCAGCAGCGCACAGGAGCCUCAGCUGUGCGCGUCCGAAGCAUUCGACAUCUACAGGAAGCCGUUUAUCUUGUAA